CCCCUAUUGGUAAACUAUCCCUUGACACAGGAUAUAGGAAAAAAUUCGUAACAACUGAACAGUGUUCGAAAUUAUCCUCCAUAGAGACACAUUGCCUUUAGGGAAUCAUUAUCUUUCAGUCUGUGGGUGAAGCAAUUAAACGUUUAUCUGUAAGUUUUGAUGACGGUUUUGUUUUGUCUGAAAAACCCUUCUCUUUGGGUCCCCCAGUACAGCAGGUCAGCUCACAUUUUCCACAGACAAACUUUACAACCAUAUGGAGAUACCUAGUGGCUGUCUCGAAGUCCCACUCAAUACAAUUUGGUAUUUUGGAUCUAUUUUUAGAAGUUCUGCUAUGUGAACAUUUUUAGCCUGUACAAUGUCAGCCUGGUAAUUUUCAUGCAAGUAAGAAAACAAUUUGUUCUAGCCUCCAGAAUGGUACCGACAUCAGAAGUGUCCUUCACAUUAAAGAACUUGUGAUUAAAGAGCUUCCAGUAAGAGCGGUGAAAUCGUCACCAUAGCCAGGUUCCACAAUGCCCUUGCCUGCCUCAGGAAGUGUCAGCAGAGUGGGGUCCAAGAAGGUUAAUGGAAAAUACAAGAAAGCAGGAGAGUAAUAUUUAACAAUGGUGGCACUGGGGAGAUGAAGAGGUCUGGCUGCAACCCUGGGAAUGGCCCUAUGAAGCCUGACAAUGCAGUCAAAGAAGGACUAGAAACCCUGACGAAGACAAUAGUUUACCUGGGGCAGCUUUCCUACGGAGUGAGAUGGAAAGAGAGCAUGAGGUGGUUAUGAGGAGGAAUGACUGGCUGCCACAAGCCCAAAAGGAGAAAGACAGCAUCUCACUGCACAGAUGGUCAGGGAAGAAGCCAUGGGUGGAUUAGCUGCUUCAAAGGAGCGUGUCAGGGUGGGGGACAAUGAGGCUAGAAAGAGAAGAUAUGUCCAUCAAGAGAAUGUGGGAUUCGGGAAAUCAAAAAAUAAAUUUUUUUUUGAGGCAAUAUAACCAUAUUGUUAUGUGUUAGUUCUCUAAGGUGUGACCAUCAAGGUGUUUGGUAGAAACUGAAUGAGUGACAAAAAUAAUGGAAAUAAGACUGAGGGGUUGAGAAGCUAG
rnacentral:lncRNA from 1 species